UACGAAGGGGGCUAGCGUUGCUCGGAAUUACUGGGCGUAAAGCGCACGUAGGCGGCUACUCAAGUCAGAGGUGAAAGCCCAGGGCUCAACCUUGGAACUGCCUUUGAAACUAGGUAGCUAGAAUUCUGGAGAGGUGAGUGGAAUUCCGAGUGUAGAGGUGAAAUUCGUAGAUAUUCGGAAGAACACCAGUGGCGAAGGCGACUGACUGGACAGAUAUUGACGCUGAGGUGCGAAAGCGUGGGGAGCAAACAGG
rnacentral:rRNA from 1 species